ACGGGACACCUGCAUCUGCCAACAAGACUGGAAGCAGGUUGGCGCAUGGACAUUUUCCCAGAAAGGGACAGAGACGGCGAAGUUUGACGGUCUGGAAAGCAGAGACCAGCAGGGCUGACUGCUUGGGAGCACCAAAUAUCCGGACAGCGCCUCUCGGGAGGUCCGAGAAGAGAACCGCGAUCUGUUUCAGCACCGGGGCUCAGGACAGUUCCCAGCGGGCUCCGUUUCGUCUCCAGAACCCUGGACAGCUCCUCCAGCCUCAGGGCUUUUGCCUCUGCUGUUCCUGCAGCUUGGAAUGCACUCCCUCCACCUCCAACCAGAGCUCCCCACAACUGACCCUGCCUUCUUCUGCAAGCUCCAUUUCAUCAAGGGAAACGAUCCUUAUUGCCUCACCAUUUCCCACGUGAAGUCUGUAUUGACAUUCUCAUAGACCUGGGAUAUUGUGUCUGCAGCACAUAGUCCAAUUAUUUUCAUGUUAUCUACUGACAGGUCUAUUUGUCUCCCUGUUACACUGUGAGCUCCGUGAGGGCAGAAACAAUGUUAGUAUUUUCACUGCUGUGUCCCCAGCGCCUGGUCCGGGGCCCGGCACACAGCAGGCAUAUAAUAAGCAUGUGUUGAAUCAAUAAAGGCAUCAAAGAAUAAACCAA
rnacentral:lncRNA from 1 species